rnacentral:rRNA from 1 species
UAGGGAAUCUUCGGCAAUGGACGAAAGUCUGACCGAGCAACGCCGCGUGAGUGAAGAAGGUUUUCGGAUCGUAAAACUCUGUUGUUAGAGAAGAACAAGGACGUUAGUAACUGAACGUCCCCUGACGGUAUCUAACCAGAAAGCCACGGCUAACUACGUGCCAGCAGCCGCGGUAAUACGUAGGUGGCAAGCGUUGUCCGGAUUUAUUGGGCGUAAAGCGAGCGCAGGCGGUUUCUUAAGUCGGAUGUGAAAGCCCCCGGCUCAACCGGGGAAGGUCAUUGGAAACUGGGAGACUUGAGUGCAGAAGAGGAGAGUGGAAUUCCAUGUGUAGCGGUGAAAUGCGUAGAUAUAUGGAGGAACACCAGUGGCGAAGGCGGCUCUCUGGUCUGUAACUGACGCUGAGGCUCGAAAGCGUGGGGAGCAAACAGG